CCUCAGGCCCUCACAUCCCCCUGGAAUCCGGGCCCCUGCGUGUCUUGUUUUCCACUGUGUCCACAGAGCCAGGCCCUGGGUGAUGCAUGAAUGUCAACUGAGGAAGAGACUGAGGCUCGAAGCGCGUCCGCGACCUGCAUGAGGCCACGUGACCGCCCCUUAGGGGUGAACACAGGAAGGCACCUCUGGACCAGCGUCCCCACCCUUCAUGGAGGAGGUGUCCCGGGUGGGCGAGGAGCAGCGCCCCCGCGCUCACUUCCCCCGCAGUAAGGCCACCUUGUAUCUGCUUUCCAGACGAGUUUUAGACACCACAGCUUCCUCUGGAUCUAGAACAUUCCCAUGAAAAGCCAGCCAUCCAGCCAGUGCUACAUUAUGCCUCUUAGGAAGCCGGUCCUUCCUUCCUACUGAAUACUCGGGCCCUGGAAACAUGGUUGCAGUUAAAGCUGUUACAAGACUACCCGGACUAACGAAUGCACAGGCCUGAACCCCGGCCGAAGGAGGGAGUUCAUCUGUGAUCCUUUUCAUCCUUGGUUUUUCUUGUGCUCUGCACCCCCACGGCCUGAGAGCACUCAGUGUCCUCUUACUGACCCCGGGUGCUGAGAUCCCUCCAGCGUCACCUGGACACACAGCAUCCCAGGUGCGCGAUCUCUCCACCCCACUUUCCCUCAUUAAACUCGUGCACAGCGGCCCCGUCUCAUCAGGCCCUUGCUGGAUAAAAAUGGAUCGGAGUUGGGAGGAAAAGAUAUCAAGUUUCCAAAUAUGUCAAGGCUGGGAGCUAUCACGGGAUUUAAAAAUACAAAUAAUGAUGAACACCUGCCCCAAAGCUGCCUGCGGCCUCACCCCUCUGGACAUUGUCAUACCAUCCCAUACGCUUUUGGGGCUAAUGAAGGCCUUUCUCACAAUGGAGUUACACACCAUAUACACUCGGUGGCUUCAGAAUGUCAACCGUCCUUGGAGCCCAUGGCGGAGGAGGGAGGGGCCUUUUGCUGACCGCUGUGGAAACGCACCCCUCAGCUCUCUCCCUGCAGGAAGCUCAGCUGACAGAGCCCCCGCUGCUCCCCUCUCUGCAUCCACCACUCUGCUGGUGCUGGGGUCACUUUUCCCACGAGCUGCCCCGGCCAAUGGCAGCAUGGAGCGCUCACUCAGACCCUUUCCCGAGAGACGCGCAGCUCCUGUCCUUCAAGACCACCCAUUGGCCUGGCAGAAACUUCCUCAGGAUGACCUGCAGUCUGAGACCCUUCCUCUUCGUCCUCCUUCCUGCCCUCUCCCUCAGGCGGAGGCCUGCACCGUGCCUACCUCCUCCUGCUUCUUCCUCCCUGAUCCCUCACAGCAUCUCCCCCAGCGCAUCCCAGGCACAUCUGACCCAUCGUAGUGUUUCCCUCACAGAGGACGUGAACCAACACAAGUGGCACCAGGAGCG
rnacentral:lncRNA from 1 species